GACGAACGCUGGCGGCGUGCCUAAUACAUGCAAGUCGAGCGGACUUUCAAGAAGCUUGCUUUUUGAAAGUUAGCGGCGGACGGGUGAGUAACACGUGGGCAACCUGCCUGCAAGACGGGGAUAACUCCGGGAAACCGGGGCUAAUACCGGAUAAUAUCUUCCUUCGCAUGAAGGAAGGUUGAAAGGCGGCGCAAGCUGCCGCUUGCAGAUGGGCCCGCGGCGCAUUAGCUAGUUGGUGAGGUAACGGCUCACCAAGGCGACGAUGAGUAGCCGACCUGAGAGGGUGAUCGGCCACACUGGGACUGAGACACGGCCCAGACUCCUACGGGAGGCAGCAGUAGGGAAUCUUCCGCAAUAGACGAAAGUCUGACGGAGCAACGCCGCGUGAGCGAAGAAGGUCUUCGGAUCGUAAAGCUCUGUUGUCAGGGAAGAACAAGUACCGUUCGAACAGGGCGGUACCUUGACGGUACCUGACCAGAAAGCCACGGCUAACUACGUG
rnacentral:rRNA from 1 species